GACGAACGCUGGCGGCGUGCUUAACACAUGCAAGUCGAACGCUGAAGCACCAGCUUGCUGGUGUGGAUGAGUGGCGAACGGGUGAGUAAUACGUGAGUAACCUGCCCUUGACUCUGGGAUAAGCCCGGGAAACUGGGUCUAAUACUGGAUGCUACAUGUCACCGCAUGGUGGUGUGUGGAAAGGGUUUACUGGUCUUGGAUGGGCUCACGGCCUAUCAGCUUGUUGGUGAGGUAAUGGCUCACCAAGGCGACGACGGGUAGCCGGCCUGAGAGGGUGACCGGCCCCCCUGGGGAUGAGGAACGGCCCAGAAUCCUAAGGGAGGCAGCGGUGGGGAAUAUUGCACAAUGGGCGAAAGCCUGAUGCAGCGACGCCGCGUGAGGGAUGACGGCCUUCGGGUUGUAAACCUCUUUCAGCAGGGAAGAAGCCACAAGUGACGGUACCUGCAGAAGAAGCGCCGGCUAACUACGUG
rnacentral:rRNA from 1 species